rnacentral:tRNA from 1 species
GCCAGAAUAGCUCAGUUGGCAGAGCGGUUCACUCGUAAUGAACAGGUCGUCGGUUCAAAUCCGACUUCUGGCU